rnacentral:lncRNA from 1 species
UAUUUUUUUAUUUUUUUUAUUUUUUUUUUUAAGAAUUGGAAGAAAAAAUUACUUUAUCAAUAACCAGGCUGCACCAGGAUUGACCAAGAUGUUUGUUCCUGGCGCUUGUCAUUCUCAGCAAGCACAACACAGAGAGCAAAUAUAAAAGGCUCAAAGUGCAUUGCAUCUUUUAUGGGAGAAAACUGGACAAGAACUUAAAAAUACCUUUAAAUUUUGAAAGACAUAAUCAACGAAGAUGAUUGUGGCAUCGUAUUUACUACUGUAAGUAAAAUUUUUAUUAAUAUUUUGGUUUAAGAACUGACAGAAAAAAAAAGAUCAGGUUUAUUUUAGAA